rnacentral:rRNA from 1 species
CCUACGGGAGGCUGCAGUGGGGAAUAUUGGACAAUGGGGGAAACCCUGAUCCAGCCAUGCCGCGUGUGUGAAGAAGGCCCUCGGGUUGUAAAGCACUUUCAGUGAGGAAGAACGCCUGUUGGUUAAUACCCACCAGGAAAGACAUCACUCACAGAAGAAGCACCGGCUAACUCCGUGCCAGCAGCCGCGGUAAUACGGAGGGUGCGAGCGUUAAUCGGAAUUACUGGGCGUAAAGCGCGCGUAGGUGGCUUGAUAAGCCGGUUGUGAAAGCCCCGGGCUCAACCUGGGAACGGCAUCCGGAACUGUCAAGCUAGAGUGCAGGAGAGGAUGGUAGAAUUCCCGGUGUAGCGGUGAAAUGCGUAGAGAUCGGGAGGAAUACCAGUGGCGAAGGCGGCCUUCUGGACUGACACUGACACUGAGGUGCGAAAGCGUGGGUAGCAAACAGGAUUAGAUACCCCUGUAGUC